CCAUUUUUCCGACAUCCCAUUGUUCCGACCAUAUUAAACCCAUUGUUCAUGAUGCCCUGUGGUUAAGGUCUGGUUAGGUUUAGGCACAAAAACCACUUGGUUAGGGUCAGGAAACGAUCAUGGUGUGGGUUAAAAUGAAAAAGAAAGUGACAAACACAUAAGCUGUGAGCCUGCUCCACCUCAAGCCUUUCCCAGCUGACCCAGAGCCGGUCGCGACACACCAUCAAGGCAGAAAUACACCCGCCAGGAGCCGUUCAGCACCGCGGAGAGCUCCCCACACAACCCCGACCCCAGAGUUAAUAACAGGAGGUUAUGGUGUUUCACUCUCUCCUCUCUGUGACACUUGUAUCUCGACCAGUAGCCUACUUUUGUUGUGUUGCUGAUCCUCUAUGGUACACAAACAGCUACAGUAAUAAUCACAUAUUGGAACAACGGGAUGUCGGAACAAUGAGAGGUCGGAACAAUGAGAGGUCAGAACAAUGAGAGGUCGGAACAAUGAGAGGUCGGAACAACGGGACGUCGGACUAAUGAGAGGUCGGAACAAUGAGAGGUCGGAACAAUGAGAGGUCAGAACAAUGAGAGGUCGGAACAACAGGACGUCGGACUAAUGAGAGGUCAGAACAAUGAGAGGUCGGAACAAUGAGAGGUCGGAACAACGGGACGUCGGACUAAUGAGAGGUCAGAACAAUGAGAGGUCGGAACAAUGAGAGGUCGGAACAAUGAGAGGUCGGAACAACGGGACGUCUGACUAACGAGAGGUCAGAACAAUGAGAGGUCAGAACAAUGAGAGGUCGGAACAAUGGGAUGUCGGACUAAUGAGAGGUCAGAACAAUGAGAGGUCGGAACAAUGAGAGGUCGGAACAAUGAGAGGUCGGACUAAUGAGAGGUCAGAACAAUGAGAGGUCGGAACAAUGAGAGGUCAGAACAAUGAGAGGUCGGAACAACGGGACGUCGGACUAAUGAGAGGUCAGAACAAUGAGAGGUCGGAACAAUGAGAGGUCAGAACAAUGAGAGGUCGGAACAACGGGACGUCGGACUAAUGAGAGGUCAGAACAACGAGAGGUCGGAACAAUGAGAGGUCAGAACAAUGAGAGGUCGGAACAACGGGACGUCGGACUAACGAGAGGUCGGAACAAUGAGAGGUCGGAGCAAUGAGAGGUCAGAACAAUGAGAGGUCGGAGCAAUGAGAGGUCGGAACAAUGAGAGGUCGGAACAAUGAGAGGUCGGAACAAUGAGAGGUCGGAACAAUGAGAGGUCGGAACAAUGAGAGGUCGGAACAAUGAGAGGUCGGAACAAUGAGAGGUCGGAACAAUGAGAGGUCGGAACAAUGAGAGGUCGGAGCAAUGAGAGGUCGGAACAAUGAGAGGUCGGAGCAAUGAGAGGUCGGAACAAUGAGAGGUUGGAACAACGGGACGUCUGACUAACGAGAGGUCGGAACAAUGAGAGGUCGGAACAAUGAGAGGUCGGAGCAAU